CACCCGGACCGGGCCCCUCUGGCAGGCAAGGCGUUGCCUGUGAUGUCGGACCGCACGA
rfam:Nitratireductor pacificus pht-3B contig34, whole genome shotgun sequence.